rnacentral:rRNA from 1 species
UUGGUUAAGUUAGAAAGGGCGCACGGUGGAUGCCUUGGCACUAGGAGCCGAAGAAGGACGGGACUAACACCGAUAUGCUUUGGGGAGCUGUACGUAAGCGUUGAUCCAGAGAUUUCCGAAUGGGGGAACCCACUAUCUUUAGUCGGAUAGUAUCCUUACGUGAAUACAUAGCGUGAGGAAGGCAGACCCAGGGAACUGAAACAUCUAAGUACCUGGAGGAAGAGAAAGAAAAAUCGAUUUCCUGAGUAGCGGCGAGCGAAACGGAAAGAGCCCAAACCAAGAAGCUUGCUUCUUGGGGUUGUAGGACACUCUAUACGGAGUUACAAAAGAAAGUUAUAAAUGAAGCGGUCUGGAAAGGCCCGCCAAAGACGGUAACAGCCCGGUAGUUGAAAUGGCUUUCCCUCCAGAGUGGAUCCUGAGUACGGCGGAACACGUGAAAUUCCGUCGGAAUCCGGGAGGACCAUCUCCCAAGGCUAAAUACUCCCUAGUGACCGAUAGUGAACCAGUACCGUGAGGGAAAGGUGAAAAGCACCCCGGAAGGGGAGUGAAACAGUUCCUGAAACCGUGUGCCUACAAGUAGUUAGAGCCCGUUAAUGGGUGAUAGCGUGCCUUUUGUAGAAUGAACCGGCGAGUUACGAUUUGUUGCAAGGUUAAGCGGAAAAAGCGGAGCCGUAGCGAAAGCGAGUCUGAAUAGGGCGCAUAAGUAACAGGUCGUAGACCCGAAACCAGGUGAUCUACCCAUGUCCAGGAUGAAGGUAAGGUAAUACUUACUGGAGGUCCGAACCCACGCACGUUGAAAAGUGCGGGGAUGAGGUGUGGGUAGCGGAGAAAUUCCAAUCGAACUUGGAGAUAGCUGGUUCUCUCCGAAAUAGCUUUAGGGCUAGCCUCGAGGUAAAGAGUCAUGGAGGUAGAGCACUGUUUGGACUAGGGGCCCUUCUCGGGUUACCGAAUUCAGAUAAACUCCGAAUGCCAUGUACUUAUACUCGGGAGUCAGACUGCGAGUGAUAAGAUCCGUAGUCGAAAGGGAAACAGCCCAGACCACCAGUUAAGGUCCCCAAAUAUAUGUUAAGUGGAAAAGGAUGUGGGGUUGCUUAGACAACCAGGAUGUUGGCUUAGAAGCAGCCACCAUUGAAAGAGUGCGUAAUAGCUCACUGGUCGAGUGACCCCGCGCCGAAAAUGUACCGGGGCUAAACAUAUUACCGAAACUGUGGAUGAACCUCUUUAGAGGUUCGUGGUAGGAGAGCGUUCUAAGGGCGGUGAAGUCAGACCGGAAGGACUGGUGGAGCGCUUAGAAGUGAGAAUGCCGGUAUGAGUAGCGAAAGAAGGGUGAGAAUCCCUUCCACCGAAUAUCUAAGGUUUCCUGAGGAAGGCUCGUCCGCUCAGGGUUAGUCGGGACCUAAGCCGAGGCCGAUAGGCGUAGGCGAUGGACAACAGGUAGAGAUUCCUGUACCAGUGCUAAUUGUUUAACCGAUGGGGUGACACAGAAGGAUAGGGAAUCGCACGAAUGGAAAUGUGCGUCCAAG